UAGGGAAUCUUCCACAAUGGACGCAAGUCUGAUGGAGCAACGCCGCGUGAGUGAAGAAGGUUUUCGGACCGUAAAGCUCUGUUGUUGGUGAAGAAGGAUAGAGGUAGUAACUGGCCUUUAUUUGACGGUAAUCAACCAGAAAGUCACGGCUAACUACGUGCCAGCAGCCGCGGUAAUCGUAGGUGGCAAGCGUUGUCCGGAUUUAUUGGGCGUAAAGCGAGCGCAGGCGGAAGAAUAAGUCUGAUGUGAAAGCCCUCGGCUUAACCGAGGAAUUGCAUCGGAAACUGCUU
rnacentral:rRNA from 1 species